AGAACACAAACAGCUCCUAAAAAAUGCGCAGCUGGAACUGAAGAAGAGUAAGAGGAAAGAUUACUACAAGAUUCUAGGAGUGGACAAGAAUGCCUCUGAGGACGAGAUCAAGAAAGCUUAUCGGAAACGGGCCUUGAUGCACCAUCCAGAUCGGCAUAGUGGAGCCAGUGCUGAGGUUCAGAAGGAGGAGGAGAAGAAGUUCAAGGAAGUUGGAGAGGCCUUUACUAUCCUCUCUGAUCCCAAGAAAAAGACUCGCUAUGACAGUGGACAGGACCUAGAUGAGGAGGGCAUGAAUAUGGGUGGUGAGUUGGCUGGGGCAGCCUGGGAUGAAUUUGACAGCUGUAGAAUGUUAGAAUUUUUUCCAAAGAUGCUCCAGAGGGAGAGUCUGUUUGGGCCAAAUCUGAUCCCUGGUCCAAACAGUAAUAGACAUGGAGUCAAACAAAUGCAGUCAAAUGUGGCAGGUUCACAGUGUGCAGUGAGCUCUGAGGAGGCGAGCACUAGCAAGGGAAGGCUUGGAAGUGCAGAAAAGCAUGGCCCCAUGGGUCAUGCCUGUAAUCCCAGC
rnacentral:sRNA from 1 species